GGAGAGCUGCCAGAGUGGUCGAAUGGGCCGCACUCGAAAUGCGGUAAGGGCGUAAGCCUUUCAGAGGUUCGAAUCCUCUGCUCUCCG
rnacentral:tRNA from 1 species